rnacentral:rRNA from 1 species
CCUACGGGUGGCAGCAGUGGGGAAUAUUGCACAAUGGGGGAAACCCUGAUGCAGCAACGCCGCGUGGGUGAAGAAGUAUCUCGGUAUGUAAAGCCCUAUCAGCAGGGAAGAAAAUGACGGUACCUGACUAAGAAGCCCCGGCUAACUACGUGCCAGCAGCCGCGGUAAUACGUAGGGGGCAAGCGUUAUCCGGAUUUACUGGGUGUAAAGGGAGCGUAGACGGCACUGCAAGUCCGGAGUGAAAGCCCGUGGCUUAACCACGGUACUGCUCUGGAAACUGUGGGGCUGGAGUGCGGGAGGGGUAGGCGGAAUUCCUAGUGUAGCGGUGAAAUGCGUAGAUAUUAGGAGGAACACCGGUGGCGAAGGCGGCCUGCUGGACCGUAACUGACGUUGAGGCUCGAAAGCGUGGGGAGCAAACAGGAUUAGAUACCCGGGUAGUC